UACAGAGGGUGCGAGCGUUAAUCGGAAUUACUGGGCGUAAAGCGCGUGUAGGCGGCUAAGUAAGUCGGGCGUGAAAUCCCACGGCUCAACCGUGGAAGUGCACUCGAAACUGCAUAGCUAGAGUCCUGGAGAGGAAGGUGGAAUGCUUGGUGUAGAGGUGAAAUUCGUAGAUAUCAAGCGGAACACCGGUGGCGAAGGCGGCCUUCUGGACAGUGACUGACGCUG
rnacentral:rRNA from 1 species